NUUGACCUCAGAUCAGUCGUGUUUACCCGCUGAACUUAAGCAUAUCAAUAAGCGGAGGAAAAGAAACUAACCAGGAUUCCCUUGGUAACGGCGAGUGAAGAGGGAAGAGCCCAGCACCGAACGUGC
rnacentral:rRNA from 1 species